GAUUCGUCACACUAUCAUUAACUGAAUCCAUAGGUUAAUGAGGCGAACCGGGGGAACUGAAACAUCUAAGUACCCCGAGGAAAAGAAAUCAACCGAGAUUCCCCCAGUAGCGGCGAGCGAACGGGGAGGAGCCCAGAGCCUGAAUCAGCAUGUGUGUUAGUGGAAGCGUCUGGAAAGGCGCGCGAUACAGGGUGACAGCCCCGUACACAAAAGCGCAUGUGCUGUGAGCUCGAUGAGUAGGGCGGGACACGUGGUAUCCUGUCUGAAUAUGGGGGGACCAUCCUCCAAGGCUAAAUACUCCUGACUGACCGAUAGUGAACCAGUACCGUGAGGGAAAGGCGAAAAGAACCCCGGCGAGGGGAGUGAAAAAGAACCUGAAACCGUGUACGUACAAGCAGUGGGAGCACAGGUUUACCUGUGUGACUGCGUA
rnacentral:rRNA from 1 species